AGGAGGAAAGUUGUGUUAGGCCCUCGACAGCCAACGUAAAAACCCGUCGAAUCUCAUGAACAUGGAUUAAAGACCUAGUAUUAGCAGAAUUA